rnacentral:rRNA from 1 species
CGGACGGGUGAGUAACACGUGGAUAACCUACCUAUAAGACUGGGAUAACUUCGGGAAACCGGAGCUAAUACCAGAUAACAUGUUGAACCGCAUGGUUCAACAGCGAAAGACGGUCUUGCUGUCACUUAUAGAUGGAUCCGCGCCGCAUUAGCUAGUUGGUAAGGUAACGGCUUACCAAGGCAACGAUGCGUAGCCGACCUGAGAGGGUGAUCGGCCGCACUGGAACUGAGACACGGUCCAG